rnacentral:rRNA from 1 species
AUACGGAGGGUGCGAGCGUUAAUCGGAAUUACUGGGCGUAAAGCGCGCGUAGGCGGUUUGGUCAGUCGGAUGCGAAAGCCCUGGGCUCAACCUGGGAAUGGCAUUCGAUACUGCCUGACUAGAGUAUGGUAGAGGGAAGUGGAAUUUCCGGUGUAGCGGUGAAAUGCGUAGAUAUCGGAAGGAACACCAGUGGCGAAGGCGACUUCCUGGGCCAAUACUGACGCUGAGGUGCGAAAGCGUGGGGAGCAAACAGGAUUAGAAACCCCAGUAGUCC